UUUCUCCAAAAAUUAUUUUCUUGUGGUAUUUCUACUAAUUCAAGGGUCCUUUACAACUUGGUGUAAUUAUUUUGGAAGAAAGAACACUUGUUUCUUCAAGUUGACAACUUGGUCAAGUGAAGAAGAUUGUAGAAAAAGAUUUUGGCGAACUUGAAACUUGAUUUUGGAGACGUGUAUGAAGCGGAAAAGGUCAGCAGGUAGACGGACCUGAUUUCUAGAAGUUCUACCAGCAGUGUUGGCAGUGCUCCAGUCGUCCCGGAGCCCCAGAUUCUCGGUACUAUUUUGUGUAUAUAUAUAUUCGGGCACGGCAGUACCCGGCCCUUUCUAUGUAUAAGUGUACUAUGUCUAGAGGCUCGUAGACAGAUGUGUAUAGUCAGUCGAGUACAAUUAGAUAUACGAUGUUUUGGCAUGUUGAUAUUGUUGUAUAAAGUGUUAACGAGAUUUACUAGUCUAUGUUCAGAAC